UGGGAAUUUUGGACAAUGGGCGCAAGCCUGAUCCAGCCAUGCCGCGUGCGGGAAGAAGGCCUUCGGGUUGUAAACCGCUUUUGUCAGGGAAGAAAUCUUCUGAGUUAAUACCUCGGGAGGAUGACGGUACCUGAAGAAUAAGCACCGGCUAACUACGUGCCAGCAGCCGCGGUAAUACGUAGGGUGCAAGCGUUAAUCGGAAUUACUGGGCGUAAAGCGUGCGCAGGCGGUUUUGUAAGACAGAGGUGAAAUCCCCGGGCUCAACCUGGGAACUGCCUUUGUGACUGCAAGGCUUGAGUGCGGCAGAGGGGGAUGGAAUUCCGCGUGUAGCAGUGAAAUGCGUAGAUAUGCGGAGG
rnacentral:rRNA from 1 species